GCGCCGGUGAUCGCGUGGCAUGAUGAUGGGAGGAGGGACGGCAAGGUCAAGAGGAGGAGCGUGAGAAUGGCCGGCGCCAUGCUGCAGCUGCAGCGAGAGCAAGAGCAAUGGUGGAUGAGAGAUUGGUGGUGCAGCAAAGCAAGGUGAUCUAUAUAAUCUAAUCUAGCUGGAGAUGAUCGAUCGAGAUGAUGGGAUGAAUUGAAUUCAAAGGUGAAACUGAUCGAAAGAUUAAGAGGAUUAGUGCAUGCAUCCAUGCAUAUAGGUAGGUAGAUGACUUGCAGGCGAGAUUCGCGGGAGGAGAUGGCGUGUCAGUUGGAAGAACGAUCCAUGGACGCGCUGCUGCUGCCGCUUGUUGACCUCUCCCUCCGAAACGAGAUCUUUUGACUUAAGUCACACUGACUGACUGAUAUGUGGGCCUGCGAACGGUCAGGCUCCUCCCUCCCUCCUUGGCCAGGUCUAACGGUGUGACCGUUCACACGGCCAUUAAUCCGCAC
rnacentral:lncRNA from 1 species